rnacentral:rRNA from 1 species
GCAAGUCGAGCGCAUCCUUCGGGAUGAGCGGCGGACGGGUGAGUAACGCGUGGGAAUGUGCCCUUCUCUACGGAAUAGCCACUGGAAACGGUGAGUAAUACCGUAUACGCCCUUAGGGGGAAAGAUUUAUCGGAGAAGGAUCAGCCCGCGCUAGAUUAGGUAGUUGGUGGGGUAACGGCCUACCAAGCCUACGAUCUAUAGCUGGUUUUAGAGGAUGAUCAGCCACACUGGGACUGAGACACGGCCCAGACUCCUACGGGAGGCAGCAGUAGGGAAUCUUGGACAAUGGGGGAAACCCUGAUCCAGCCAUGCCGCGUGAGUGAAGAAGGCCUUAGGGUCGUAAAGCUCUUUCGCCUGUGAUGAUAAUGACAGUAGCAGGUAAAGAAACCCCGGCUAACUCCGUGCCAGCAGCCGCGGUAAUACGGAGGGGGUUAGCGUUGUUCGGAAUUACCGGGCGUAAAGCGCGCGUAGGCGGAUUGGAAAGUUGGGGGUGAAAUCCCGGGGCUCAACCCCGGAACUGCCUCCAAAACUGCCAGUCUAGAGUUCGAGAGAGGUGAGUGGAACUCCAAGUGUAGAGGUGAAAUUCGUAGAUAUUUGGAAGAACACCAGUGGCGAAGGCGGCUCACUGGCUCGAUACUGACGCUGAGGUGCGAAAGUGUGGGGAGCAAACAGGAUUAGAUACCCUGGUAGUCCACACCGUAAACGAUGAAUGCCAGUCGUCGGGUAGUAUACUAUUCGGUGACACACCUAACGGAUUAAGCAUUUCGCCUGGGGAGUACGGU